AUUGAACGCUGGCGGCGUGCUUAACACAUGCAAGUCGAACGAAGCACUUUUAAUUCUUCGGAAGAGGAAGUGACUGAGUGGCGGACGGGUGAGUAACGCGUGGGUAACCUGCCUUAUACAGGGGGAUAACAGUUAGAAAUGACUGCUAAUACCGCAUAAGCCGAUAGAGUCGCAUGACUUAGUUGGAAAAGAUUUAUCGGUAUAAGAUGGACCCGCGUCUGAUUAGCUAGUUGGUGAGGUAAUGGCCCACCAAGGCGACGAUCAGUAGCCGGCUUGAGAGAGUGAACGGCCACAUUGGGACUGAGACACGGCCCAAACUCCUACGGGAGGCAGCAGUGGGGAAUAUUGCACAAUGGGGGAAACCCUGAUGCAGCAACGCCGCGUGAAGGAAGAAGUAUUUCGGUAUGUAAACUUCUAUCAGCAGGGAAGAAAAUGACGGUACCUGAUUAAGAAGCCCCGGCUAACUACGUGCCAGCAGCCGCGGUAA
rnacentral:rRNA from 1 species